AGCAGCCGCGGUAAUUCCAGCUCCAAUAGCGUAUAUUAAAGUUGCUGCAGUUAAAAGCUCGUAGUUGAAUUUCGGGAUUAAUAUGUCGGUCGUGCCUCGGUACGCACUGGCUUAUUGGUUUCUCCCUUCUGACGAACCAUGAUGUCAUUAAUUUGGUGUCUUGGGAAAUCAGGACUGUUACUUUGAAAAAUUAGAGUGUUUAAAGCAGGCUCACGCUUGAAUACACUAGCAUGGAAUAAUGAAAUAGGACGUUUGAUUCUAUUUUGUUGGUUUCUAGGAUCGACGUAAUGAUUAAUAGGGAUAGUUGGGGGGCAUUAGUAUUCAAUUGUCAGAGGUGAAAUUCUUGGAUUUAUUGAAGACUAACUACUGCGAAAGCAUUUGCCAAGGAUGUUU
rnacentral:rRNA from 1 species